GUAACUCGCUUCGCUAUGAUAUUGUUCUCUCGAGCGCAGAGAGUUGUCUCUUCGGAGACAUCCGAUAAAAUUGGAACGAUACAGAGAAGAUUAGCAUGGCCCCUGCGCAAGGAUGACACGCAUAAAUCGAGAAAUGGUCCAAAUUUUUUUCCCCAAUCGCACGGCGGAUUGGAUUUAUGUUUUGCCCCUUUUUUUCGCCUUCAUUCUUUGGUUUUGUUCCUCCUGCGAGUACUAAUUGGGGUGUGGCUGUCGAUCUUUGAUCUGUUACUGGGUUUGCUCCUUUGCCACGAUCGUUUCAUGAAUUGCGAACUCCAAUCUUGAAUCUUUUUGUGUUUUUCUUCUUAUUCGAUUCCACCCCAUGUGUGUAUACCCCUUUAAUUCAGCGAACCUAAAAUCACUUUUCCCUUUUUCGAUGUACUGCGGAAAGUUCAAGGGGUUAAAUUUGCAAGCCAGUAAUGUUUAUGGUACUUGUUAUACAGAUUCGAGUGCUUUAGUUCUCCCGGAAUGGUUUCAUUUGAUUCAAUGAUAGGUUUCGGCUUCCUUUUGCGAAGUUGUCUUCCAGUAAAAGAAACAUUGCUUGAGGCAGAAGAGCAUUGGAAGGAUUGGGUUCAAAUUAUCCUGUGCAUCACUCUGAUGCCAUCAACUUUUUCCUGCUUUUUAGUCACUGUCGAUCAUCAAUGUGAUAGAAGAAAUUUGGACAUCUUUCUCUGUUCAUGUGCAAGUGCGUUUGUGUUCAGUUUUCAACUGUGCAAAGUGAUGAAAUGAAGUCAUUUCUCGUUGCAGAGAUUUAACAUCAUUCAAGAAUUGUCCGGCCAGUAUGCCUGGUGAAUCAAAAGCUUCUGAACUGGUCCACACAUUGCCAGAGUGAGGCCGCCUACAAGUCUGGCCAUUUGGUACAAGACUGGACUAUCUUCUGCACCCUUUUGGUGUUCAAAAUUUCAUCUACAACUUCAACUCGUAGGUCAACUGAUAUGAAAAGGAAUCUCUUGUCUCAGAUUGGAAUACAUACAUAAGAUAUACUGCCAUGAUUCUGCUAACACUUGUAAAAUUUAUGAAUUGAGUGUCAUUGUUGAUAACAUUAGAAUGGUAGCAAAUUCAUUUAAAGCCACGUCUUAUCCAUUAGAGAAAUCUUGUACGAUGUAGGUUGUCUAUUUUGUAGUUCUCUCGUCAAUGCAAUUAUGUUUUCCUUCUUGUUUUUCAAUUAUGGGGUAUUUACCUAUGAGCUUCUAUGCAUUUUCAUCGAAUUGAAUAGUUAUGCUUCUUACAUACACCAUUGUCAUUUGUCCAGCCAUCGCAGGAUUAUUUGAGUUUGUAAGUCCAACAUGCAUUAGUCGUAUCUAAAUUGAGUCUUUGAAUUCUUUAAAAAUUAUAGCGUCAUUUCUUUUUGCCACAAGAGUCUGCCUCAGUAACAUUGGUACUUCUACAGCCUUGUCAAAAUCCACUAUAGGAACAAUUCCAUUCUUAUGAAAAAAUUUCCAGGUAUGUUCCACUUCAUCGAUCAUUCUCUGUAGCUUCACAUAGUUGAUCCAUCUUUAAUGGAUACAUAUCAUGACCUAUCCACUAGUUUUGCUGUUUCCUUUAACCUCAUGGCAAGAGUUUCAUAAAUUUGUUGACGAGUCUGAUAUGAUUAACACAUCUUUAUUUUUUCUAAAGAGGUCCAGUGUGUUUAUUCACCUAAAGUUAAGUGUACGUGACAUAUGAACAGAAAUAGCGAGCAUUUAAACACUCUAAAAGUCAUAAAGUUGCAAUACUUGACCAUUUAGUUAAUCAGUAGCUCCUUAAACUGAUAAGUGCAACAGUAUAUAGUACUUGUUGGAGUCCUCAUUAUCUAUGCAGUAAGAAGUGACAGAAACCUCAAUGAAGCCGUUUUUAAUUGUUGGUGAAAUUGCUGAACCAUAUGCACUAGGUAUAUGUAGCUAGAAUUUCAUGACAAAUCCAUCUAUUCCUGUUUCUUUGCUUAAUUGUUACUGCCAAUGUGCAGUUUAACCUCUUCCAUUUCAAGUUCUUUGAUUAAUUGUGCAGGUCCGUUUGUGUUAUAUACAGCAUCCUUGUUGAAUUCAUCAAAAAUUUCAAAUGCUUUCUUAUAGAACUAACCCAACCUAACCUCCACCAGACCCAACUAAGCAUUUGUCUUCAAUAUGAAGAUGGUUCACUUCCCUCAAUAUAAAGUCCAUCAAAUUUGACAUGGAUCCAUCUGGCGUCUUGUUCUUCUUGUCAUAUAGCAUGAAUAGGGCCUGCAAACAAUAAUUAAUGAGAAUACAGAACAGAGGUGAGAGGCAUAUUUAUUCCUUUUUGCUGAGAUUAUUUGAUAUUCCUGUUCAAAAUCUCAAGCCACCAAUAAAGUCUGCUAUUUCAAAAGGUACUCAAUAGUCUAGUAAAAGAUUCAACAGGGAAACAAUUAUUUGAAUUACGACCAUAUUUUUAUAACAUGGGAGCUACACUAUGCAGUCAUACUGUUAGCCAUUUCUCAUGUUAUUAAAUAGUUUGUAGGUUUAAAUAUUUAAAUAGUUUUGGCAAAUCAGCUAUGCUAUGAUAUUUAUUCUGGAGACAGUUUUUGUUUCUCUAGGCUCUUUGUCCUGUUGAUGGACAAACACACUAAGAUAGCUUCUUAAAUUGACAGAGAGAAGAGAUCAGAACAAGAUGUAAUUAAGCAACCAUAAAGGAACCAGUUAUAGAGAUGAAGUAUCCACGUUCUAUUGUUGGUCUGGACACUCCAUCAUGAGAUUUUACAUAACCAAAGAAUUUAUGGAACAUUGAAUAAUAAGAAUGACUCCUUGGGUUUAGGUUAUCUCUGUCCCACCCAAUUUCGAAGAGUUUCUGCUUAGAUGUUCGGUGAAAGAAAUGUCUCCGCAAUAUUCUUAAUAUAUUUUGAACAGAUUUCCCUCCUAAUUCUCUUCUAAGUGACAGUAUUAAAUAGACUUAACAACCAUCGAUUUGAAGUCACUUUGCAAUUCAAUUUUAAUAAAUCUAUCUUGCUGCACAACAAAUUAAAAUAUUUACCAAGCUUUAUCAUAACUAUGCAGCUUGAGUCUUGCAUACAUUCAUAGUCACAAAAGAGGAUGAGAAGAAAAAUAAAAUGCAUACCCUACCUCCAUUCCUGAGUGAACGAACAUUAGUGCAAAUAUGAGGUUCAAAGGACAUUGCAAGCUGCUGCAUUAUUUCAUUUGAGCCUGAGGCUCCCUGAAUAGAGCUGUUCCAGGAUUAUCUUCAUAUGGAUCAUAAUCCUGUAAAAUUGCCACAUAAUCCUGUAAAAUUCAAAAAUAAAAAUUACAGGAAGAAAAGGAUCUAUAAACACACUGAACAUUACGUGCAUUCUUGGUUCCUAAAUAUCACACUACAUUGUAAGAACAGUGUUUAAAUAUGGCAGAAGCACCAAAAAAAAGUGUCCUAGUAGCGGCAAGAUAAUUAAAUAAAGUCAUUUAAGAUAUACAUUCCAGUGAUUAACUGGCUUUUGCUGUUUUUCUGUGUGGCAUUUGUUGCUACCUUUGGUAGCAUAUUUGAGAUUGCCAAUGCAUAUGGUACUUAUUCCUUUCCCUUUCUUUUUGUGUACAUUGAACAUACUAUUUUUCUUACCUUUGUGUUCUUUUCUUUUCUUUUUUUAUUUACUUCAAUAAUACUCGACAUGAAAUCUGUUGGGAACCUGUCUUUUGUAUGAGAUUAAAAAAGUAAUGGAUGACAUAAGUGCAAGGAGACUAAAAUUGUUCUGAUCUGUUUAAGCAUAAUGGUGAUGGCGUAGUUGUAGUUGUUCAAUUGCCCCAUUCAUUUUAUGGACUAUUUAUCUGCUGAGAAAAUACUUUUGACAAGUAAGAUUGUGGAAGGACAGUUGAAAGUGUAGGACAUUUGACAAAUCAGACCGAGAGAAGUUGCUUCAGUUUGUAUAGGAUGUCUGCUUAGACAGAGGAUUGAAACUAGGUUAGGGCAAUGUUCAAGAUGAAAUUUUUUUUUACCAGUUGUCAUAAUGCUUGAUGUAAAGAUUAUCCUAGACUCACAUUUUUCAGGUAAAGGCUAGGAAGACUUUCAUAUUUUUCCUUCUGCUCAAACAGUGAAAAUGUAAUAUUAAGAUAUAGUCAGGAUGCUUGCUUGGGAAAAAUCUUGUCCAACAUCAAAAAGUUGACCUAAGACUGAUUAUCUUUGUCAUGAUCUUCACAAACUUGAGACCCAAGCAAAGCUUAUGGAUACAUGUCCCAACUGGGUAAUUUGGGCUUUAUUAAGUUGUAUGAAAAUGAGGUAAAUUUGAGGUCUUAAAAACUUUCUAUGAUUACUUGGUUUUCACUUUUCCAAGUUGGUUGGAGUUAUUUGUUCAGAUAUUUAAUUAGUGUUACUUUGUGUUUGGACUUAGUUGCCAGGUUUGCUGUUUAAUUCACUUAGUGAAUGGUGGUAACCUUUAAGAUUGUCUUAAGGCUAAAUUUUGCACUCUAAUAUUUAAGUCAUUAUUUGAUUAAUUUGCUCACAGAAUAGGAAAAUCGUGUUGUUGAACCUGUUGGAAGAAACAAUAUAUUGUCGGAGAUUUUUGAAGACUUAACUGAAUUUAAAAUUACAUAGAAUUUAAAUUUAACUUACAAUAGAGAUGACCUGAACG